AAUUGACGGGACCCGCACAAGCGGUGGAUGAUGUGGAUUAAUUCGAUGCAACGCGAAAACCUUACCUACCCUUGACAUGUCCGGAAUCCCGAAGAGAUUUGGGAGUGCUCGCAAGAGAACCGGAACACAGGUGCUGCAUGGCUGUCGUCAGCUCGUGUCGUGAGAUGUUGGGUUAAGUCCCGCAACGAGCGCAACCCUUGUCAUUAGUUGCCAUCAUUUGGUUGGGCACUCUAAUGAGACUGCCGGUGACAAACCGGAGGAAGUGGGGGAUGACGUCAAGUCCUCAUGGCCCUUAUGGGUAGGGCUUCACACGUCAUACAAUGGUCGGUACAGAGGGUUGCCAACCCGCGAGGGGGAGCUAAUCCCACAAAGCCGAUCGUAGUCCGGAUCGCAGUCUGCAACUCGACUGCGUGAAGUCGGAAUCGCUAGUAAUCGUGGAUCAGCAUGUCACGGUGAAUACGUUCCCGGGUCUU
rnacentral:rRNA from 1 species